CUGUUAAAACAAAACCUUUUUCCCGAUCUCUGUCAAGACACUUUACCUUUUUUCACUGGCAGAGACAGUAUCACGUUGCAAUAUCGUGUGAAUCUGCUUAAUUUCAACGUUUUCAAUUCUCAGUCGAACAUCCUCUUUUGCUGUUUAAGCAAAUGCCGGCGUAUCGAACAAACAUUAACGGCGUUACGAAGGUCGAUAGAAGCAUCGAAUAGCAAAGAAGUAGAAUCAUCAUUUAGCAUGAAAGAGUUGCGCUGCCUUUCACCGUUUUUGCUGUCUCACUUUAUGAAUAUGUAUGUCGGUGGAUGCACUACAAAAUUUGUAACAGAAACGAAGGAUGCAACCUAGUUGAACAGGAAUAGAUCUACAUUCUAAAUGUCGUAUGGAAAUGGUUUGUUAUUUCGCACCUCCCGAGAAUUUAAAGGUACAAAAGUUUAAUGCGUAUAAUAACCAAAAAUAUAUAGAAUAUACCCAAUGUAAAGUACUUUCUAUAAUACUUAGCGGAUGAAACGAAUUUUUAUUUAGUUCGCAGCUCCUUCGUUAUGUUCAUAAGAAUAUCAAAAUGCAUAAACAGCUGUAUUCUAGUCUAUUCUGUUGAUAUCUCGAGUCGGUUAAACCUCUCAGAUGUUUAGUUGGAAACCGCGGUUUAUGCAUGCAGUGAACGCGAUAAAUGCAUCUGGAAAAGCUAAGUUUCGCUUUUCGUGAGAUCCACUAUUGGUGGGAGUUUAGGUGAAGAUGUGGGGAUCAAGCAGUACGAAGUCUCUGACCCACUGACAUUCUCUUUAGUUACUUGGUAGAAACAAACGCUGAUAAUCCGUGACUCAGACUUUCGAUGUUCGUGAUCAGGAUUAUUGGCAAAAUAGUAUCUGAAGAAGAAAGAUAGCCGUCAUCGAAGGAUCACAACCAGUCGAGUCUCGUUUUGAGAUGAGGCGAAAUCGUGGCUUGCUAACUAGUGUCGCUGUUUGCUUGACAGUUUUCUUCAUUGUUUUAAAUUCGAAAUCAACAGUGGAAACUGUAAACGACACGGGAAGUAGCAUAGAAAAGCCUUACGCUGGAGAACAGGAAGUCCAUAAAGGUCAGACGUAUCGAUACGUUACACCUUCUCUUGCUGAAUUGGGUGCUCGUGGAAGUUUGCCUAAAAUGAACCAGCAUGUUUUAAUGCUGACGCGUGUACCUGAUGCUGGAGCUGAAUUGUUAGUCUUGAUCCUACAACGUCUGCAGGGUUACAAUGCGUUUAAACAUAUACGAUUACCACCUGGCGAUCAUGGGCUUCUAUCAACUCUGCAAGAGGAACUGUUAGUAGAAGAAAUUACUAAUAUCAUUAGACAGGAAGCGAUUCCUCUGAGUUUCGACGGAGAUGUUAGAUUUCUGAACUUCUCCAAGUUUGGAAGAGAGUCUCCGACGUUUAUUUCCCUAGUGAGAAAUCCUAUAUGUGCGCACAAUUUGCGGAGAUAUCGUGAAAGGCGAAGUGACAUGCUUCAUAGAGCCAUACCUACGUUCUGUGGUCAAGAUCCUCGAUGCGCAAAGAUAAAUAACAAAUGGGCGUUAGAACGGGCAAAGGCAAACAUCGUUGAAUGGUACCCUGUUGUCGGUAUAUUAAAUUACAUGGAACAAUCCAUAGAUGUACUGGAAUACAAAUUUCCAUAUUUCUUUCGAGGUGCUAAACAUAGUUACAGAAAGAUUCAGCCGAGAAAAAGACACUUUUCCGAUCCAACACUUACGCUAAGAGCACGAGAAAGAGAUAUUUUAUUUAAGCUUCUUGAGGAUGAGAUAGAAUUUUAUCAGUGGUUAAAAUAUCGACUUUUGAACGAAACAUUGAUCGACAUUGAUUAAAGCCAUGAAAUUUACACGAUGAUAAGUGUCUAGUUUCAAAAUAUACCAAAGAUAUUAAAUAUUCCAAUAAUAAUGAUUUUAUACAGAAAUAAAUUUGAUUAAAAAUUUUUCUAGGAAGAAAGGAUUUUAGUUCCUAUAAAAUUAGAAUACUGCGCAGGAACAAUAUGCGUCUCAUUUGCUUAGAGUCGACUCCACUCGCUUAGUGAGAAUUUCUAGAAAAUAUAGGAUAUACAGAAGAAACUACUUUUCAAUCUUCAUAGUUUA